GGGGGACGUCCAUACUUGUUCAAUUUAUCUCUUU
rnacentral:sRNA from 1 species